UACGUAGGGGGCAAGCGUUGUCCGGAAUCAUUGGGCGUAAAGAGCGUGUAGGCGGCUCGAUAAGUCCGCUCUGAAAGCCCGGGGCUCAACCCCGGGAGGCGGGUGGAUACUGUCGAGCUCGAGUCCGGAAGAGGCAAGUGGAAUUCCCGGUGUAGCGGUGAAAUGCGCAGAUAUCGGGAGGAACACCAAUGGCGAAGGCAGCUGCUGGGACGGUACUGACGCUGAGACGCGAAAGCGUGGGGAGCAAACAGG
rnacentral:rRNA from 1 species